UAGUUUUUAAAAAUGGAUGCUUAAAUUGUUUAUAAAUAAAGGAACAGAGGAAGUACUUAGAAUAACAAUUCUUUUUUAAAAAUUUUUUAUUUAAAUUCAAUUUGCCAACAUAUAGUAUAGCACCCAGUGCUCACCCCAUCAAGUGCCCUCCUUAGUGCCUGUCACUCAGUUAUCCCAUCCUCUCACCCACUUUCCCUUCUACAAUCCUUUGUUUCCCAGAGUUAGGAGUCUCUCAUGGUUUGUCUCCCUCUCUAAUAUUUCCCCACUCAGUUUCCCUCGUUUCUCUUAUAAUCCCUUUCUCUGUUUCUUAUAUUCCACACAUGAGUGACACCAUGAUUGUCUUUCUCUGAUUGACUUAUUUCACUCACCAUAAUACCCCUCAGUUCCACCCAUCGAAGCAAAUGGUGGAUAUUCGACUUUUCCAAUGGCUGAAUAAUAUUCUAUAAUAUAAUAUAAUAAUAUUCUAUUGUAUAUAUAUAUAUAUAUAUAUAUAUAUAUAUCACAUCUUCUUUAUCCUAGAAUGACAAUUCUUCACCCCAAAGCUCUAUUAAAUAUAUUUAUUUUAAACAUGGUUAGUCCUGCAUAUAUAUAGACAUUCCAUUACUAGGUGUAAUAUUAAUAGUCAUUAAAUGUUAUACUUUUUUUACAGGUGGCAAGGGAUUCCUGGCAGCUUUGUUGGGGGUAAUACGGAAACGACACUAAGAAAAAGGACCAAAGUGAAAUGGAAUAGUUUCCAGCUAGAUUGGAAUGAUAUUAAAUGAUCACCUAGGAAACCAGAGGUAUAAACUUUUAAAGGUUUCACCAUUAGGGUCAGUUUGAGUUUCCUGUCAAGAUAAAAACCUGUGUUUCCUUCAGCUGCAUCAAGGAGAAGCAAGUCAGGCAGCAAGAGCAAAAGCAAGCAAGAUCCUGUGCUGGGCCAUGAGGUCUAGUCUGCACUGCUCCCUGUGUUGAGAUGAAAAGGCUGUGGAGGUCAGCACAUGGGAGAGGCAGAGCUGCUUGUGUACUUGAGUCCUCCAGCUUACCCUCACCCCUCUUAUCCUUAGACGAAUGACACUCAGCACAGUGGCUGCAAAUGCCAUUAGGCAAAUGAGCAUAUGGCAGUGAGCGUGUAUGCCACUGAAAGUCUAUAUGCUAUUCUAAACCAGAAGCGAAAGUCUGAUACGUCUGUGACCCUGAGUAAGUGUUUUUGUACUGGCUUCCAAAAAAAUCAGAGUAAAGUCAUUUUAGACACUUCAGUCUAACCACAGUGAUGCUUUUAUGAGGCUAAUAAACCCAUCUCUAAAAUGUUGUAAAUAGGUGUAUUUAGAAAAGCUGCUGUAGACAUAUAACCUUUUCUGAAGUACACACUGUACUUGUUUUCUGGAUUGAAAGCUUCCCAACAUGCCAUGGCCAGAAGUAAAUAAAGUUCAAAUUUAAAUGUGAAAUAUUAAAGAACAGCUGCUUAUAUGUAGAAGAACCCAUGAAACAUUGCCCCACAGCCUGACUGUUGUAGGCAGUGGUUAUCCCUUGGGUAUGAGAGCAAAGAAUGCCUCAAGGCAUGUGGUUAGUGGAAGGUUGUUGCCAUUACGUUUGCAGAUAUCACUCUUAAUAUAUUUUUAUUUCACCUCAGGUUAGAAAACCAAUCAACCAAUCAACCAACCAACAAUGACAAUCCUAUCCGAAGUUACUCCUGUCAUUACACAUGGAGAGCUUAAUGCCUAUUUUUGGAAGCUGUAGGUUGCAGCAGCUUUCAAUCAAGGUCAAUAACAAAAGGCAAAUAGAUCCUAGGAGCACUAAACACUAGGGCUGAAUGGAUCCUAGAGAUCCUCUAAUCCAGAGGAUCCCAAUCCAUGGGCUUCCAGCUGCUAGCACAACAAAGGAACUAUAAAUCUAUAAAUGCAACAAGCCUCGUAUGUAUAGUCCAUGAACAGACACACACAAAUACAUCCACAUGGACUUAUUACAUUUUCAAUUAUAAGACAUUGAAAUCAUUUGUGUUCUCUUUUCCUUUCCAAGAUGGUAGUCAGGCUCUUUGUACAGCAUUGGCUCAGAAUAGGUUUGAAUUUCUUCCAGGUUUUUUUAUUUCUAAGCUCCCUGAAUGAAUUAAGUUACAAGCAGAGAAGAGAGGCAGAAGCUUUAAAUCAAAGGAAGGUUUUCCAUCCUGAUAAAGAUAUAGAAGUCUGUAGACUGGGAGAGUGAUAGAACCUAUGUGGUAGGGAAUUUUCUAGAUUUCUAAUAGGAUUGGUGUGUCUGGGAAGGCUUGCCAACCGACGACCAGGACUCUUAGGCUUGGCAAGGCUUACCAUUCCCAGAGAGCCAGCAAAUGAUAUGACUGUAAGAGUGGUGGUUUUGCACACUGAGUGCUUCAGUGGUAAUCCCAAUAAUGACUGAAAUUAGAUAAAUUACUAUUCUGGCAAAAUCAUUUUUAUGAUAUUCAGAGCCAGAUUUCAGUGUUUUUAAAAAGUGACAUUUCAUAUGUACCAGAAUUUAUGGAGUAAUACUGAUAUGUGCUAUAAACACAUAUAUACAACUUCUCUGACAAUGUAUGUAGAUGCUAUUGUGGUAAAUGAAAUAAAAUUUAAUUAGAAGAAGCAUGAUGUCUGUCAUUCUUCAGGUAUUAUGAAUUUCUCUCUUUUUAAAAAUUUUUUAAAUUCAACUUAAUUUACAUACACUGUAUGAUUAGUUUUAGAGGUGGAAUUUAGUGAUUCCUCAGUUGCGUACAACACCCAAUGCACAUUACAUUAUGUGCCCUCCUUAAUGCCCAUCACCCAGUUAUCCCAUCUCCCCAGAAUCUUACCUCCAACAAUCCUCAAUUUGUUUCCUAUAGAGUCUCUUAUGAUUUGCUUCCCUCUCUGUUUUUGUAUUAUUUUAUUUUUCCUUCCUUUCCCCUAUGUUCAUGUUUUGUUUCUAAAAUUCCACAUAUGAGUGAAAUCAUGGUGUUUUCUCUCACUGACUUAUUUCGCUUAGUAUAAUACCCUCCAAUUCCAUUCAUGUCAUUGCAAAUGACAAGAUUUCAUUCUUUCUGAUUGGUGAGUAUAUAUAUAUAUAUAUGUAUAUAUGUAUAUAUAUAUGUAUGCGUGUGUGUACAUGUGGUGUAUGUGUAUAUAUAUAUACAACUCACCCAUAUAUAUAACUAUAUAUACCACAUCUUUAUCCAUUCAUCUGUUGAUGGACACCUGGGCUCUCCAUACUUCAGCUAUUGUUGACUUUGCUACUACAAAUGUUGGGGUACAUGUGCCCCUUCAAAUCACUAUGUUUGUAUCCUUUGGGUAAAUACCUAGUAAUGCAAUUGCUAGAUCAUCAGGUAGUUUUUAACUUUUCGAGGAACCUCCAUACUGUUUUCCAGAGUGGCUGCAGUAUUGUGAAUUUUUCAAUCAACAGUCACUAAAAUGACAAUGGCCAUCAUUCUG
rnacentral:lncRNA from 1 species